AGAGUAUAUACUAAUGAAUAAGAUAUAGGAACAUAAUUGUUCUUUGCUUAUAUAUGACUGACUUUAUAUAUGUCUGUCUUUUGUUUUGUUUAACAAAUUUAAUUACUUUUCAUUCUAGAAUAAACAAUAUAAUUACUUUUGCUUGUCGAUCUUUUUUAUUUUUAUUUAAUUAAUUUCAAAAAAUUAUGAAACCUUUUAGGUAAUUUAAUAUUAGUUUUACGAAUUUAAAUUAUUAUUUUCUAUUUCAAAAUUUAAUUAAUUUUUGCUAAUAAAUAGUGGAGAUAAAAAUAAUAAAUUUAACAAAAUAAAAGAUGAUUAAAAAAAUUCUUGACGAUUUCUCGACGAACAAUGAAAUGGCCGUACCCGCCCGCGUGAAAAGAGAGUAAUCUACUUUAUUAAAACAGAAGUACACUUAUAGAAUAACCCUAAAAGUUACUUAAUAUUUACAGUCAAAUGCCAUUGAGAAUUAAAUUAGUUUUACAUUAAAAAUGAUUGUCUUUUCCACUUAUUCAUUGUUUUCCUAAAAUAACUCAAACUAACCACAAAAAAAGGAAACAUAUUAUUAAUAAACUCAAACAAACUACAUAUUUUUAAAUAAAUGAACAAACAUAAAUAAUUCCCCUGCAAUAUCGACACCCUAACAUUGCUUAUUAUAUAAAUCUCAUCCUUAGCUUACGUAACCUGCACGAACAUCAAAUUAUAUAAGUAAUUAAACUAUGAAAAAUUAACAAUGAUUCUCACACGAGUUGAACAAUUUCAGUUCACUUAAUUUCACGGUGGUGUCUGUAGCAUAUUUGUAACCACUUUAUUAUAUUGAAAUAUUCCACUGACUUCCAUAUGUCCAAAUAAUUAAUAAUCAUUAUCUAUCUUAUUAAAAUCUAAUAUUUUUGAAUUGAAAAUCUUUUUCCCUAACAAUCUUCGGAAAAAAAAAAUAGAAAUAUUUGCAGAAUUUACUAAUUUGUUUCUAAAUAAGAUUUCCCCUUCAAUUUCGGAACAAGGAAUAUAUAUAUAUAUAAUUUGAUCCAUAACUACUAAACAAUAAACAUAAUAUUCGAAUUUCAACAACAUAUUCUGCAUACUAAUCCAAACAAGAGAUGCCUUACGAGGGUGGUUAAGAUAUUUUCUCAACUUUAGCGUUUUGUAUUGCCUUCAAAAAAAUUGACCCACACACUUGCGGAACAAGCAUAAAAUCUUAUCAUUUCCUAUUUCAAAUCAUAACCAUUAAGAUUUUACCAUAAUUUCAAAAACAAGAAACAUAAUCAACAAAAUAUUAUUUUCAUUUAUUUCACCUAAUAUGCCUUGCAAAAUAAGCAAAGAUAUUUAUUCUCAACUAGGGUAUUGUCUCUCUACUAUAUAUUCUAUCCGAGUACAAACUCAUUCUACACAUUCUUUUACGACUUACCUCACAAAAAAAUCAUGUCUGCUAACAAAAGAUUUCAUUUGAUCAGCGAUCUUAAACCCUUUAAGGAAGUGUGGCAUGUUCAAGUAAAACUGAUUCACUCAUGGAUACAAAACCCACCUUACGCUGAUGAAACAUUAGAAAUGGUUUUAGCUGAUCAAACAGUUAGUUCUACUCUUUGUAUUUUUUUUGAAUUUUAGUAAAGUAGAUCAGGAUGAUUAAGUGAUGAUCUAAGAUAAAUAACAGGUAAAACAUUAGAAAUGCCACGGUGUGAUCAAAUUAUGUUACAGCAAUAUUUGUAUUAUGUGAUGUAUUUUUGCCAUCAUUUGUAUAAAAAUUUGAUACAUUAUAUAAGGUGUGAAAAUUUUUAAUUGCAUUACGUAAACAGAAAAAUACACCUGCCCGGUCGGGCGGGUCCAGAUCUAGUAAACCCCAAAAGAAGAAGACUCGUCUCCAGUUACGUUCCUCAUCUUCUACGCCGUUGACGAUAUACAUAAUUUCUCUUUGUCUCUUCUUCGGCUGAUCAAACACGCAAGCGAUUUCGAAAGUAUCCAUGGAUUCUAUUGAUACUGGUGCUAGUGAUGGAGCACCUAAAGCUCCGUGUAAAAGACUAUUGGUUCGGUGGCUAAGUCUGAUGACUACAGCAGAGUUUUAGCUGAUCCAUUGUAUACUAUGAUGAUACGUCAAGCUCUUUAUUCUACUGAUGAAACCUGCCAAGCAAAUGAGUUCCGUAGCCAAGAAGGAAGAGGUUGUGAAGAGAUUGAAUCAAAGUUGGAAUCUUCACAUUGCAAAGAGAUGUUACUGAGAUUGAGGAAGAAGGAUGUGAUGAUGGUGAAGAUGAGACUUUCUGCAAUGCAUUAGAAUAUGGACUGGCUCCUACAGGUGGCUGGGGAUUGGGUAUAGACAGGCUUGCCAUGCUCUUGACAGACUCGCAGAACAUCAAGGAGGUUAUUCUCUUCCCGGCAAUGAGACCACAAGACGAUCCAGCAACCGUUAAAGGUUCUUUGCAAGCAGAUAACAAAGGAGAGUAGAGCACAAUUUUCAUCUCUUAUGCCUCUAAAGUUUGGUAGUCCAAUUGCUAUUGUGCAAAUUUAAUUUCGAUGUACGAACAACCCAUAUUUUUACAGUCAACUUGUCAUUAUCAAAAACCUUUCAAGGCUUUUUUGGAUCUCGUUUGUUGUUUUCUAAUUGUAAAUUCGUUCUCAUAUUAAAAUAGCGCAAGAUUUUGUUUCUAUCAA